rnacentral:rRNA from 1 species
UUUAAAUUGAGAGUUUGAUCCUGGCUCAGGAUGAACGCUGGCGGCGUGCCUAAUACAUGCAAGUCGUACGCUAGCCGCUGAAUUGAUCCUUCGGGUGAAGUGAGGCAAUGACUAGAGUGGCGAACUGGUGAGUAACACGUAAGAAACCUGCCCUUUAGUGGGGGAUAACAUUUGGAAACAGAUGCUAAUACCGCGUAACAACAAAUCACACAUGUGAUCUGUUUGAAAGGUCCUUUUGGAUCGCUAGAGGAUGGUCUUGCGGCGUAUUAGCUUGUUGGUAGGGUAGAAGCCUACCAAGGCAAUGAUGCGUAGCCGAGUUGAGAGACUGGCCGGCCACAUUGGGACUGAGACACUGCCCAAACUCCUACGGGAGGCUGCAGUAGGGAAUUUUCCGCAAUGCACGAAAGUGUGACGGAGCGACGCCGCGUGUGUGAUGAAGGCUUUCGGGUCGUAAAGC